UAGGCGUCUACGUCCCAAAAAUACUUUAACUAAAUAAUAUAUACAGUAUCGGUGCAGGCUUCCCCACGCUGUCCUGCCAAUGUGCCUCAGCCCUGACAUGGGAUGACCAUCUCUAAAGGUGAAGAGCGCAUUUUGGUCUCCAUGCAGUUCAGUUCUUGGCUUCU
rnacentral:sRNA from 1 species